UCUGGUUGAUCCUGCCAGUAGUCAUAUGCUUGUCUUAAAGAUUAAGCCAUGCAUGUCUAAGUAUAAAUAGUAUACAGUGAAACUGCGAAUGGCUUAUUAAAACAGUUAUAGUUUACUUGAUAAUCGAAUUUUAUAUGGAUAACCGUAAUAAUUUUAGAGCUAAUACAUGCUGUUAAACCUGACUUUUUGGAAAGGUUGUAUUUAUUAGAUACUAAACCAGCAGCUUCGGCUUCUGUGAUGAUUCAUAAUAACUGAUCGGAGUAAAGCUAGCCUUUACUAAAUCAUUCAAGUUUCUGACCUAUCACUUUGUUGUUAGUGUAUUGGACUAACAAGAGGAUUACGGGUACGAGGAAUUAGGGUUUGAUAUCGAAGAGGGAGCCUGAGAAACGGCUACCACUUCUAAGGAAGGCAGCAGGCGCGUAAAUUACCCAAUUCCAAUUCGGAGAGGUAGUGACAAGAAAUAAUAACUCGGAUAGUUUACACUAUUACGAGAUUAAAAUGGGAACAAUUUAAAAAUCUUAUCGAGGAACAAUGAGAGGACAAGUCUGGUGCCAGCACCCGCGGUAAUUCCAGCUCUUAUAGUGUAUAUUAAAGUUGUUGCAGUUAAAAAGCUCGUAGUCUAAUAUCUAGUGCGGCGCGUGCUGGCUCACUGCCAGCGCGACGCGGUGCUAUCUGUUCGAGAACUUCUUCUAUCUUAACUGGUCGGAGAUGCUGAUCGGACUCUUUCCUGAGAAAAAAUUAGAGUGUUUAAAGCAGGCUAAUGCAAUGAAUAUUACAGCUUGGAAUAAUAGAAUAAGACUGGAGUGUCUUUUGUUGGUUAUGAACUUUAGUAAUGGUUAAUAUAAACAGUCGGGGGUAUUAGUAUUUAAGUGUCAGAGGUGAAAUUCUAUGAUUACUUAAAGACUAACUUAUGCGAAAGCAUUUACCAAGGAUGUUUUCAUUGAUCAAGAACGAAAGUUAGGGGAUCAAAGACGAUUAGAUACCGUCCUAGUCUUAACUAUAAACGAUUCCGACCAAGGAUCGGGGAGGUCUGCUAAGCCUUCUCGGCACUUUAUGAGAAAUCAAAGUCUUUGGGUUCUGGGGGAAGUACGGACACAAGUCUGAAACUUAAAGGAAUUGACGGAAGGGCACACAAGAUGUGGAGACUGCGGCUUAAUUUGACUCAACACGGGGAAACUUACUAGAGCAAGACUAAGGUUGGAUUGACAGAAUGAGAGCUCUUUCUUGAUUCUUAGGGUGGUGGUGCAUGGCCGUUCUUAGUUGGUGGAGUGAUUUGUCUGGUUAAUUCCGUUAACGAACGAGACUUUAACCUGCUAAACUAGGAGCCGGAUUACUCAUCUGGUUUCCUUCUUAGAGGGACUACGUGUUCAAGCACAAGGAAGUUUG
rnacentral:rRNA from 1 species